AACAAGUACCAGGGCUUCAUAUUCGACAUUGUGACCAAGCAGGCCUUUGACGUCACCAUCAUGUUUCUGAUCUGCUUGAAUAUGGUGACCAUGAUGGUGGAGACAGAUGACCAAAGUCCCGAGAAAAUCAACAUCUUGGCCAAGAUCAACCUGCUCUUUGUGGCCAUCUUCACAGGCGAGUGUAUUGUCAAGCUGGCUGCCCUGCGCCACUAUUACUUCACCAACAGCUGGAAUAUCUUCGACUUCGUGGUUGUCAUCCUCUCCAUCGUGGGAGCCCUCCUAGUGGGUAUGAAGUGAUAUCUCACUGAGGUUUUGGUUUGCAAAAGCAAAUGACUGAUGACUAACGAUGCAGGACAUCUUUCCAUGUGCGUGUUGGUCAUUUAUAUAUCUUCCUUGGAGAAAUCUCUAUUCAGAUCCUUAGCUCAUUUUUAAUUGGGUUAUUUCUCUUUUUAUUGUUGAGUUGUAAGAGUUCUUUACGUAUUCUGGAUCAUAGUCUCUUAUCAGAUAUAUGACUUAAAAAUAUUUUCUCCUAGUCUGUGAGUUUUUUCAUUUCCUAGUGGUGUCUAUUAAAGCACAAAAGUUUUACAUGUU
rnacentral:sRNA from 1 species